GGAGCAGGGCAUGGCCAAUAGUGCGUGGCUCACGGGGCCACCGCCGUCCUGGAGGUGCCCACGGGGCCACUACCGUCCCGGAGGUGCCCACGGGGCAGGUGGGCAGCUUUUCGGGCCAGUCCCCAGAGGAUGAGCCUCCCCUCCCAGGGCUCCCUGAGAGUGAAGCCUGUUGCCUGGGGGAUUCAGGAGGUGGGGCCUGAAAGAGCAGCAGGGGUUCAGAAGGCAACGGAAUUCUGGGCAAGGCACAGUGAGCCACUGGGUGAGAGGGGACACUGUGCCCAAAGGACCGCGUCAGGAGUGGUUUAUUUCCACACACGAUACAGCCUCAGUGGGUCAGCAUCACCACUGAGGUUCUGGGACGCGGUCCCUCUAACGCAGACCUGAGAAUGGCGCCUCACAGGCCGAAAGGCCGACCCCCACUUCCCUGAGCCCAGGGAGCGAAUGGGCUCUGACAAUUGACCUCCCAGACUCGCCUCACUGUGCCCCUUUGGGGCCUGCUGGGACCCAAGACACCUUUAAUGUGUUACCUGUGGUGUCCCGAAGAUACACCCAUUCUGGUUUCCCAAACGUGAUUUCACCGACUGUCUUCUAAAGAAACCCCUGCUCAACUUGAAAUAGACUUUUGUUUUCAGUCCCAGAGAGGAUUUAUUGUCACUGCUGUGAUCUAUUUAAAUAUUGCUCAGAGCUUUGGAGCUAAUUAAGCUAGGGAAGACAGAUUAAAUGAUUUUUAAUCGAGGAGAGCUUGACAAAGUUUUGCUUCCUGGGAAAGCAUGUCUUGGAGAGAGAGCCCAGAGGCAUGGAGUCUGCAAAGCAAAUUGAGAUGUCCCCUGGGGGUGCCGGGCAUGACACCAGCGAGCGCCCCUCCCCCCGGGGCCACACCCCCGUGCCCGCCUCUGGCACAUCCGCCAGCUGUCUAGUGCCUGCCAGGCAGGGCAGCUUCUCAGGACCAGAGGGCUGCAGCCUGUCACCCUCGCUCCCCACCCCACCAGCCACGUGCUGCUGCUCGGAGCCACGCCGAUGAGCUGAACGAAACGUUUGCUGUGAAACCGGAGUCAAGAGCCGGAGAUGACAGGCAGACGAAACCAUCUGGCGCCACUUUUGCGCCGUCGGUGCCAGGUCUGGAGCAGGACUGAUGUGUCUGUGCAUCUGUUCCCACACGGGCCGCCCUGACACUGCAGCGGGUCCCCGCUCAGGCGGCAGGACGAUGGGGAGUGUGGAGGAUGCAGGUGAAGAGCAGGAGGCCCAGGCUGCACACCUGGUGCUCAGGAGAGAGGCUCUUCCCAGCCCGGGGCGGGCUCUGACGGGACGAGGGCAGCGUGAAGUCAUCGACUCCUGGCCUGUGAUUGGGGGACGCAGGGCUGGACCCCGUGAUGCUGGGCAUGCAGCACCCCUGCUGGGAGGGAGAGAAGGGACCCACCACCACCGGGGGGGCAAACGGCUUCAGGGAGUGAGCUGCUUCGUGGGCGGCCACAUGCUGUUUUGGGGGGCCAGGUUGGCUGUUGAAGUUUUCAGGUGUGACCUUCGUUGUUCAUCUUUUCCAUCCAUGGUCUAAAAUUCGUGGCAUCCCCGGAUUUGCCAGAGCCCGGGGUUCCUGGCUCUGGUCUGUCACCUCAGCAGCUGGAUACUUUCUGGGAGCAACAGGACCCCUCCCCAGUUUGUCGGUGCCAUUGAGAUGUGCUGGGGGAAGAAGCCCCAGGCCAGCAGACAGCCACCGAGACGCCGACCCCGCCUGCAGGGAGUGGCUUGCUCCUCUCUCACGGGCCCUGAUGGCUGUGCCACCUACACCCCGUGUGUUGGAGGGCAGGGAGGCGGCCUUCUCACCAUGAAUGCACGAGGCCUCCAACUUUUCAACGUGAGGGCACAAAGCCCAGUGCCCAGAGGAGACAGCAAUGGCAGGGGGUGCCCGCUGCCACGCAGGUGCUUUGUCACCAGGUGGCUGAAGUCAAAACGAAGUUGGGGAGUGUGAUUUUUCCAGAUGUCUCCAGUGGUGGUGCUUGUCCACUUGCUGGAAGCAGAAAGUUCUAAGCCACUCUGUUGUGUCCACUUGCCCGUGGACAGGCCAGCCUGGGUCCCGUGUCCAGUGGGGCUGCUGAGACCAGAGGUCCUCAUAUGUUUGGAAGCGCUACCUCUCGUCCGUCCGGGUCACGCUGCCUCCCACACGCUGCCUCCCUGCAUGCUACUUGGUGGCUGGAGAUUUUGGAACACAUGUGUCCUCCGGUUCAAUGCUGGCCAUGGGACAAUCCCUCAGACACCGGCCGCUCUUCUCAGGGUGGCGGGGGAGGGGUGGAGGCGGGAUCGGGGCGUUCCCUCGCUGGUUAGCGUGAAUGACAGCAUGAGUGCGGUUCACUCAGGACACUGCUGUCCCCAGAUGCCCAGGACCGUGACCUUGCCGGUGGAUGCCCAGCGUGCACAGUCCCCACCCCCGCCACCUGCAGGGAUGUCACUGCUCUCCUCUCGUCCAGCAAGGUGGACAUUUUACAGCAGUCGCUGCAGGAAACGCCUUGCAGCCCCGGAUCCUGUGCGUGUCGGGACACGCAGCUGCCUCUCCCAGCACGACUCUCCAUCAAAGCCCAUUUCUGGGGAGAUAUUUCUCCACAGCGUGGGGGGUCUGCGGGCACAGCAGCUGGCCACCUGAGAGGGCUGGGCCUUGUGACUCCUGGGGCCAAAUCAAGAGAGAACUGGGUCACGUUUUCCUACGGCAAAGGCACGAGUGUCCAUCUGAAAAAAACCUCGGACAAAAUGUGGGACCCCGGCCACUGGGGUUUCGUUCAAGAGUGCUGCAAAUCAGCGGACCAGGGCUCUGCUCACUCGCCAAGUGACGGCACUGUCCAGGCAGGCGGCCCUUCUUCUGUAGUUGUUUGGGGACCCCCCACCCCUGAAUUCCCAGGGCAUUGCUGCUGUAACAACGGCCCGGAGUCUCUUGUAACAAAUCUCUUGUGACAGAAAAGAAAAAUGUCUCAUAAUUAUUGUGUACUGCUCA